rnacentral:rRNA from 1 species
GGGCCCGCACAAGCGGUGGAGCAUGUGGUUUAAUUCGAUGAUACGCGAGGAACCUUACCAGGGCUUAAAUGUAGUGGGACAGGUCUAGAGAUAGACCCUUCUUCGGACUCAUUACAAGGUGCUGCAUGGUUGUCGUCAGCUCGUGCCGUGAGGUGUCAGGUUAAGUCCUAUAACGAGCGCAACCCCUAUCGUUAGUUGCCAGCGAGUAAUGUCGGGAACUCUAACGAAACUGCCAGUGCAAACUGUGAGGAAGGUGGGGAUGACGUCAAAUCAUCACGGCCCUUACGUCCUGGGCUACACACGUGCUACAAUGGUCGGUACAGAGAGCAGCCACUACGCGAGUAGGAGCAAAUCUUCAAAGCCGAUCUCAGUUCGGAUUGUCGUCUGCAACUCGACGGCAUGAAGUCGGAAUCGCUAGUAAUCGCGUAA